rnacentral:snRNA from 1 species
CUACUGAGCUUGCAGGGGAGAAACCGGGAUCAGAAGGUGGCUUUCCCAUUGCAUUCAGGGUGUGCUGGCGGCCCCUGCGAUUUCCCCAAAGCUGGCAAACUCGAUGGCAUGAAUUGUCACGGAGGACUGGGAUAAACACAAUGUGGUCCAUCCAGGCCUUAA